UAUGGCUAUAUCACGUUGAAACAUCGGUUCUCGUCCGAUCACCGAAGUUAAGCAACGUCGAGCCUGGUCAAUACAUAGAUGAGUGAGCUCUUGGGAAUACCAGGUGCUGUAAG
rnacentral:rRNA from 1 species